AUUAAGUUUAAUUUAAUAUAGGAUCUGCUCAAUGAUUUAUUAAAUAGCUGCAGUAUUUUGACUGUGCAAAGGUAGCAUAAUAAUUAGUCUUUUAAUUGAGGACUUGUAUGAAAGAUUUGAUGAGAAAUAAACUUUAUUAUUUAUAUAAUUAAAAUUUUAUUUUUAAGUAAAAAAGCUUAAAUUAUUUAAAGGGACGAUAAGACCCUAUAAAACUUUAUAAAUAUUAAUUUUAAUUUUUUUGGAUUUAUAAAUAUUUUGAUUUUAAUAUUUAUUUUAUUGGGGUGAUAAAAAAAAUUAUUUAACUUUUUUUAAAAUUUUACAUAAUUUAAUGAAUAUUUGAAUUAAAAUUUUUAAUUAUAGGAAAAAGUUACUUUAGGGAUAACAGCGUAAUUAAUUUUUUAAGUUCAAAUUUAAAAAUUAGUUUGCGACCUCGAUGUUGAAUUAAGAUUAAUCUUAGGUGCAAAAUUUUAAGUAUUAGGUCUGUUCGACCUUUAAAUUCUUACGUGA
rnacentral:rRNA from 1 species